rnacentral:rRNA from 1 species
AAUACGUAGGGUGCGAGCGUUAAUCGGAAUUACUGGGCGUAAAGCGUGCGCAGGCGGCUUUGCAAGACAGAUGUGAAAUCCCCGGGCUUAACCUGGGAACUGCAUUUGUGACUGCAAGGCUAGAGUACGGUAGAGGGGGAUGGAAUUCCGCGUGUAGCAGUGAAAUGCGUAGAUAUGCGGAGGAACACCGAUGGCGAAGGCAAUCCCCUGGACCUGUACUGACGCUCAUGCACGAAAGCGUGGGGAGCAAACAGGA